rnacentral:tRNA from 1 species
GGGGAUGUAGCUCAGUGGUAGAGCACUUGCCUAGCAAGCACAAGGCCCUGGGUUCGGUCCCCAGCUCUG